rnacentral:rRNA from 1 species
GAACGAGACCUUCGGGUCUAGUGGCGCACGGGUGCGUAACGCGUGGGAAUCUGCCCCUUGGUUCGGAAUAACAGUUAGAAAUGACUGCUAAUACCGGAUAACGACGUAAGUCCAAAGAUUUAUCGCCGAGGGAUGAGCCCGCGUAGGAUUAGCUAGUUGGUGUGGUAAAGGCGCACCAAGGCGACGAUCCUUAGCUGGUCUGAGAGGAUGAUCAGCCACACUGGGACUGAGACACGGCCCAGACUCCUACGGGAGGCAGCAGUGGGGAAUAUUGGACAAUGGGCGAAAGCCUGAUCCAGCAAUGCCGCGUGAGUGAUGAAGGCCUUAGGGUUGUAAAGCUCUUUUACCCGGGCAUGAUAAUGACAGUACCGUGGAGAAUAAGCUCCGGCUAACUCCGUG